rnacentral:misc_RNA from 1 species
GAUGAAGAACGCAGCGAAAUGCGAUAAGUAAUGUGAAUUGCAGAAUUCAGUGAAUCAUCGAAUUUUUGAACGCACCUUGCACCCUUUGGCAUUCCGAAGGGUAUGCUCGUUUGAGUGUCAUUGUACUCUCACACUUCCAAUCUUUGGAUUGGGAGCGGUGGACUUGGGUGUUGCUGCUUACUGUGGCUCACCUCAAAUCGAUUCGUGCACCUCUUGGUUGGACAUAGUACGGCGUGAUAAGUGUCUUCGCCGGCACCUCAGUAGAGGGUGGCUGAUCAGGAGCUCUGUGCUUCAAACCGUCCUCGGACAACAACUGACAACUUGACCUCAAAUCGAGUAGGACUACCCGCUGAACUUAAGCAUAUCAAUAAGCGGAGGA